UACGUAGGUGGCAAGCGUUGUCCGGAAUUAUUGGGCGUAAAGCGCGUGUAGGCGGCUUUGCAAGUCGGGUGUGAAAUCCCUCGGCUCAACCGAGGAAGUGCGCCCGAAACUGCAGAGCUUGAGUACUGGAGAGGAUGGUGGAAUUCCCCAAGUAGAGGUGAAAUUCGUAGAUAUGGGGAGGAACACCGGUGGCGAAGGCGACCAUCUGGACAGAUACUGACGCUGAGACGCGAAAGCGUGGGGAGCAAACAGG
rnacentral:rRNA from 1 species